rnacentral:rRNA from 1 species
CAAUAGCGUAUAUUAAAGUUGUUGCAGUUAAAAAGCUCGUAGUUGGAUUUCUGGUGGGAGCGAUCGGUCUGGCGCUUAGCGCGAGUACUUGCAUCGUCUCCGGCCAUCCUUGGGGAGAGUCUGUCUGGCAUUAGGUUGUCGGGCAGAGGAUCCUCAUCGUUUACUGUGAAAAAAUUAGAGUGUUCAAAGCAGGCUUAUGCCGUUGAAUAUAUUAGCAUGGAAUAAUAAGAUAGGACUUUGGUACUAUUUUGUUGGUUUGCGCACCAAAGUAAUGAUUAAUAGGGACAGUUGGGGGUAUUCGUAUUCCGUUGUCAGAGGUGAAAUUCUUGGAUUUACGGAAGACGAACUACUGCGAAAGCAUUUACCAAGGAUGUUUUCAUAAA